GUUGUUAGGAGAGAUCCGGCGUGGUGGGUGCUGGCUCCCGGCAAGGUGGAGGAGAGGGAGAGUGCACCCUUCCCCACUUUGUACUGCAAGCAAAGGCUCUUUUUGAGUCAUGUGGAGAGCAGAUUCCAGAGCCGGCAAGGAAACAGGCGCCAGUUUGCCCAGAGGUCUUCUCAUCUUGCCGUAGGUGAGACGGCAGAAUUCAUCCAAACUCAACACCCUCCUUGCUUGGCUGGUGUUGUUCCUGAAGUACCUUCACUGGCCGGAGUGAGUGAGGCUUGAAGCAGAAUGGAGCGGUCACCAGAUUCUUGCUUCCUACCAAAAACUGGAUAUUUUUCUGGUCUCUGAAUGAUCCCAGGAGGCUGACCCUAUAGAGGUGUCUGGUCCCUGACCCCACCUGCAUCCAGGUGCCCAGAACAGCCUAUUAUGGGCCUUCAUCCUUGGCAGGUGGCUGCUGUUGUCUCAGCUAAGGUUGAGAAGUACCAGCCUGGAUGGUUUGAGCAAAAUAUUGAGGACCAAAUAAAUACGGCUGGGAGAAAUCUCAUCUUUAUCCAUCUCCUGCAUUCCAAAAACAAAUUUUGAGAAGCUUCCAAAAUCAUAUGUAAUGUGGCAUUCAAGCAAGAGCUCAAUUGAAGAAAGCUGUCCAGGGCUUAGAAAAAGUAUGCCAAUCUCCGUUUUAGGGUAUUCAUGUACCCUCCAUUUCUAUUGAACUUAAAAAUAAGGUAGCCCCAUCUCCUAAAACUGCUAAACAUUCAGUCAAAGUUCUCCAGCUGAUCAAAGACCAAAUCUCAGAAGGUCCUUUUGCCCUUAACCUGAACGUGAACUUGAAAUGGUUGAACAAUAAAGUCUCAAGGAGGCAGCAAAAUACAAUCUUAUCGGCAGGAGGGCAGCCUGACCCUACUACCCAGAGCGGUGCCUCUCAAACUGACAUUGGUGAAGGACUGGUUUUUAAAGUUUCCAAUGUAUUGUAAAUUGGUACUUUUGUAAAAUAUAAAAAAAGUGACUGUGAGCUUGGAUAUUGUGACAGUGUCAAAUUUCUGUAAAAGUUUCCAAACAUGUCAGCUCAAUUUCUCAUCUUGUCAUGGAUCUGUGUUUAUUACUGGACAGAGACCACAAGUUGAAUAGCAGCGCUCUGAGGACAAUGUUUGUGAGCUAUGGGGGAAAUUGUUUUGACAAUACUUAGCUUGAAUGAUUUUUUUGCUUUCUUGAAGUUAAAGCUGUCUGUAAAAUUUUUCUCACAAUAACAAUAGUGUUAUAGAAGAAACAUACAUAUAUAUGUGUACCUAGAGAAGAUAAUAUUCAGCUGUUGUGGAUCACCAGUAUUUGAUCUUUGUGUGAAUUCAUGUGAUGGCAAAUGAUGAUAACCGUGGCUGAGUCAAGGCUGUGAAGCGCCAGGCAGCUGGUGUUUACUCUUUCAAGACGACUGGUUUUUCAAGACUGCUUUUAGUUGUGUCCCCCCUCCUCCAAGUUCAUAGAUUGAAGCCCUAAACCUUCAAUGUGAUUGUUCAUAGAUUGAAGCCCUAAACCUUCAAUGUGAUUGUAUCUGGAGACAGGGUCUUUAGGAGGUACUUAGGGUUCAAUGAAGUCAUAAUGAUGGGCCCUAAUCCUAAUGGACUGUGUCCUCAUAAGAAGAGGAAGAGAGUGGUAGCUAUCUCUUCAUGUACACGUGCCAAGGAAAAGAGGUGCCAAUGUAUAGUGAGAAGGUGGCCAUCUGCAAGCCAGGAAGACAGCCCUUGCCAGAACUCCACCUUGCUGGCGUCCCAAUCUCAGACUUCUGUUCUCCAGAAUGGCCAAAAACAAAAAUACAUAAAUGUCUGUUGUUUAAGCCACCUAGUCUAUGGUAUUUGUUGUGGCAGCUCAAGCUGACUCAUACACAACAGAACUGUCCCUGGAAAACUGGGGUGAUUAAUUUGAUUAACAGCCUUAUGGAAUUCUUUGGAAUUAUUAAACUUUAUACAUGUAUUACUUUGUUAAGCAUAAAACUAAUUUUAAAAGAAGAAUUAUAAGGGUUUAGAAGUCAACUCAUAAAUCUUCACACCUCAUGCAGAAAUGGCAUCUGUGACAUUCCUGUUGUAUAACCAUCCUUGAACACCUUCCUGUGACUCAUGUUAUAUCUAUUUCUGGGCGGCUAUAAUUAUUAGAAGCUUCUUUCAAAUUUUCUGGUUUGUAACUGCCACCAGUAGGUGAUAAUACAGAAGCUUUUCUCUUCUGUGACCAGCUCUGCUUUUAAAGUGCAUUGCCUUUCUUAGUCCACAAGGAGCGACACCCCCACUCUGUCCCACCCCUAGCUUUUCUGUAGCACUGUGCUGUGUUUAUUAAUGUUAGAGUGAAGAGUGGGGAGACCUGAAAAGUGGGGAAAGCAGGUUUUAUAGGUUAAGAAACCAGACCUGAGAAAUGAUUUCGUGUCUUGGAUAAAGUCACGCAUAACCCUACAAGGUAAAAGCUGUAUCAGGUUUGAUGGGCAAGUGAGUGCCUCAUGCAUCAGAGAAGUCACAGACUGCAGUGAUGUACAACCCCUGGCUCCCUGCCGGCUCUGUUCCUCCAUCAGCCUGCUGCCAUUGCCCCCUCACUCUCCGAUGAUGUAGGACAUGGCUGAGAUUGACAGAGAGAGAAGGUUGAAGGGGCAGUAGUUAAAAUGUCACCCACCCAGACUGAAAUCCAAAUGGCUUAAUUUACCAUGAUGUGUUUUAAUCAACGAAAGUGAAAAAGUGAGGAGGUUGUACUUUCUCAUUCAACAAAGUAAUGCCUUAGUUACUGAAAUGCAAAUGGCUUCUGUGGGAGGGAAGCAAAAGUUAAUUAGGUCAUAUAGAUAAAUUAGGAGGAAACUGAAACCAUCUUGCCACAAUUAGAUCUUUGCCACAACUAGUUGGUUUGUAGUAAAAGAGAAUACAUAUAGAAAUGAAAGUUUCAAAUGUAAAUAUUUUUGCAUUAGAUUGCUUUGUGGAUUUUGGUGACUUUCCAAUUUUAUAAUAAAUACCGCCAUGGCAUUCCACUGCAGAUAUUUUUACUGUAAAAAUAGUCUUGCUUAUUCUCAAUUGGUGCUGUUUUAAGUUCUCUGCCUUUCCUAGAGGAUGUGCCAAUUCCCCGCUGCUGAGAAAUAAUCCUUAACUUGUAACUAACAUGCAACAAACAUGCUUCCUUUGGCUUCUUUAAACAGUUGGAUUGAGGCGAUCAGUUUAAAAUUAAAAAAAUUUAAGGUUAUUAACUGAGUCUUAAGUGUAAAUGAUAAAACAAUAAGGUCUUUUUGUUGUGCUGGUGGUGGGGGUUAUUGUUAUUUUUGUCUAAGAAUUUAAAAUUAGGUACAAAUGUGGAGUAUUUUAUGCCCUCUAGUGGUUAAAAGUAAUUCUGCAAUAUCGGUUACAUCUCAGUGCUUUCAAUUACUAAGAAGCUAGGUGAUAUUUUAAAAGCAGGUCGAAAAUUAUGUUGGUGCAUUGCUGUAGCUAAUUGCCAUUGUUGCAUAUAUUAAGAAAGAGAAACAAUAGUUUUAUGUUUUAUUAACCACAAUAUACCAAUGCCUAGAAAUCUGGCAAGACGUGAAAUGAAUUUUAAGAUAAUUUUUCUUCAGGAUUAAAAUAAUAUUUCUCUACUUCUACAAAGAGAGUAUUAAUUUGACAUUAAUCUAGUUAUAAUUUAAUUCCACUCCUUAUUCUAAUCGUGAUUUUCCUGUUUAGCUUCUUUCAUACUUUAGUUCCUAUAUUUAGGAAGAGAAUAAUGGGUCAUAAUACUUUAUUUCCUAAGCUACACAUAGGAUUAUAUGUAUCACAUUCGUGUUAUACUAUGAAAGGAAAAUGCCAUAGCAUAUUUUAUGAGCAAUUAUUUUUACUAGUUAUCCUUGGGCAUCUAUUUGACUAAUUAUUGUUAUUAAAUAUUCUAAGAUACUAAGUGCAAAGGUUCUACGUUUUAUUGACUGCAGUAUAAAAAGAUCAGGGAAGCAGAUGAGAAGCAAAGUGGAAAUGGGCUAUUAGGACGAGUGUGAAGGAUCCCUGCAGGUCAAAGAAAAGUGCUGUAAAUAGCAUGAGAGACAUUGUGGACCAUCCUUCAUUUCUUAGGAAAAUUAAACUAAUCAACUCUUCAUUUUCAUUCCUAUGCUGAAAUUAACCGAAAAACCUUUGGUGUCCCAGGCAUUUCCAAAGAAGCAAUAGCUCUGGUCUCGGGUGAAUCUAAUACCUUAUAAACCAGUGAGAUGAUAAAAGAGAUCAGGAGGAAAAAAAUUAGCAACAUCGACUCCCUUUUAAGACACGCUUAACGGGGUUGUAGGAAAAAUUUAAUGUUCUGGUGAAAAACAUGACAUUACUAAAUAAGAGUCUGUCAUUUAUAAAACCUUAUGUGUCUCAUAGGAUUUUUUAUUUUUGGUAGCCAAAAUAGCACUAAAGCUUGUAGGUGCAUAAUUACUGAUUAGCGUCAGACUAUGUAGAAAGGCAAGUGAAAUGUCCUUAAUCUCACUGAAUUGUACACUUAAAGAUGGUUACAGUGGGUGAACUUUAUGUUAUGUUUUACUACAAUUUAAAAAAAUUAAAAAGGACAAGUGAAGUCUC